rnacentral:rRNA from 1 species
AACGAGUGCCCCGAGCGUUAUCCGGAAUUAUUGGGCGUAAAGGGUGAGUAGGUGGUUUGAUUAGUCGAUUGUUAAAGCCUGGGGCUCAACUCCAGAAUCGCAAUCGAAACGGUCAGACUAGAAUAUGUGAGAGGUAUGCGGAACUCUAUGUGUAGGGGUGAAAUCCGUUGAUAUAUAGGGGAACACCAAAAGCGAAGGCAGCAUACUGGCACAUUAUUGACACUGAAUCACGAAAGCGUGGGUAGCGAAUGGG